GCUGUCCCCCGCACAAACGGGAGUUACCUGGCAAAGCCAAGGCGCUCGUUUUCGAAAGGGAGAGAGGGUCUUUUGCUGGAUUCAGGGAUGCCUUUUCCACACUUUGCAUCGUGCUGCAAUGAGCUGCUCGCUGUGAGCAGAGCUUGUUGGAAUUCAGGUGCAUGGAGAUGUAGGGGACCACAGCUGAACCAGAAGAGAGGUGCUGUGCCUGUCCCUGCUGCUGGCGCCUGAGUGCCUUCUGACAAGUCACUCAGUUCGUAUAUGACUGGUUUACCAUGGUCAGGAUGGGAUGAAUGCACACAUGAAUUCACAGCACUGGAACAGGCUGCCUGGAGAGGUUGUGGUGUCUCUUCAUCGAGAUAAUCAAAACCUGUUAGGAUGCUUUUCCAUGCAACCUUCCAUAGGGAGCCCGCUUGAGCAAGGAGUUGGAUUGGGGGAUCUCCAGAUGUCCCUUCCAAUGCCUCAAUUCUUAGGUGCCAAUGGCUGGGACAAGCAGAGCACCAGGUUGUGGCUGCGCAAGCUGGAUCCUGGGUGACCUCACCUCCAUUACCAGCUACCUGAAGUGACCAUCAUCUUCUAACCUCUCAGAAAAUCUCACCUAGAUCCUGGUUGGCAGAUGGCUAAAGAUCAGAGUGUGAACAUGCCUUGUCUGAGGACCUUACUACAGCACCCUGUCUCAUCUGGAUGGGAAUAUGUGAGACCUGCCCUGGUUCCUCUGUUAUCUGCAGAGCUGUACUCAAAAUUCUGAGUGAAUGUACCUCAAUGUCAUCUCUCAAACAAGAGUAAAAGAAAGCUAUUCUCAGGAACCUCAGCAAUCCAUGUAAACAAUCUUGGAGCACUCAAGAUGGGUGAGGUGGCAGCAAAUACUUUUAUCUUGAAAGCAGAGGAUUUCUGCAGCAGAAGUCAAUCUAAUAGCUGUCCUUGCAAUAUGCUUGUAAUAUCCUUGCUUGCAGAGGCUCUGUCACUUCUGCACUGAUGUUCUGAGAGAAGACUGUUGCUGGAUGAAGUACUUCAAAAUGCAUGGAAAGCCUGGCUUAAAGACAUCACAUAAAAAAGGUGCACAGAUCAACUGGCCAGUCAGGAGAAUUCUCUCAAAGCAUGACCUGUCAUGGCAGAAGGUAGUGUGGGGAAACUGACACACAUGGAGAAGCACAUUCAACAGACACGUAAUGCUAUACGCUUUAUUGGCAGGUAUACUGAGGAUGAUUGGGAACCAUAUGUUCGACCCUAACACCUGGUGAAUUUGGAUAUAACAUCUAUAAAGCUGGUGUGGAGACCUUAAGAGUCCCUUUCUAAAUCGGUACUACCUGAGGACUCAGUGGCAAUUCAUGCAGAUGAAAAAAGUGAUCAGAGAAGUAUCUUCAGUCAAGUUUAGUAAUGAAGGAGAUGGAUCUGACAGUCAGGAAAACUAACUAACUAAUAGUGACACAAAGACAAAAGAGACAACAGUUUUGAUACAAAUGCAGUUUAUUUAUGUAUUUAUUUUUAAGAAAACUUGCUUGUAAAUAUCUUCAGGAAAAAAAAAAGAAGUCCUAUAUUUUAAACAGAAGCACCCUGUGUGCAGACAAAUUGCUGUUGAAAUAACCAGUCUGGCCAUUUGCAGCUCAUCACGACUGAGAAAGUCUUUAGCCUUCUCCCUUCAAAUGCAGUAUUUUCUCACUAAAAUAGUGAUACCUGUUUUGGUUAGAAAAACCUCUUGGGCUUCUAAUAGAGUCCUAUCAAUUUAUAUUUUGUUUUUUGCAGGAAUCAUGCUUUUCUACUUAUGUUGGAUAUGCUUUGGAAACAGAGGUAGUUUUUUGUUUAAUUGAGUAAUUUUCCCUGAAUUGUGAGUUCUGCUGCCUGUCCCAUGAAGCAGGAAUCCUCCAGUGCAAGCAAUAAUUGCUGCAUUGAAAAACAGUCCUGAACUACUGAGGAUGAACCAACAUCCAACAAAAUCCAUAUUAUUUCAAAAAUGUUUGGUCUGAUUUUUUGAAUGUGAGUCAGAAGAACCUCAAGGCUGUGUUCAAGGAGAUGUUUGAUCUUACAUAGCCUAAGAUAUGACAAUUCAGCUGCACUUUCCUUAUGCGGAAGAGAAAUAAAAGAGUUCGAUGUUUGAAAAUGCACUUGUAGCCCAAACUGUGGAAUAAAAUCCUGCAGGAAUUUGGAAUUAACUGUAAACUGUAACCUUUUUUUUUUUUUUUUUUUUCCCUUCCAAAGAUGAAGAAGUAUGGUUCUCCAAAUUGUCAUUUCUUUUACAACAUGUAGCACACACACACACAAAAAAAGGUCAUUUUCAGAGUUCCAAAGCACAGAAUAUAUGCUUGUCUGUGAUGUCACAACAUCAUGAUGGGCACUAAGUACCUGAAUAACUCGGGAAAAGCUCCCAGCCGGCUCAGUGAAGGAACCACCUCCAUUGUAAAGGUGAAUAGGGCACUUAAGUGGCUUAUCAGGAGCUCUUUCACUUGCAAGUUGAAGUUGUUGCCCCUCCAAAUGCUGUUUGCUGUUUUCUCCUAGCCAAACUCCCUUGGCUGUUGCACUGUAAGUGGCUUUCCAGUUUUAGAGGGAUGCCUGAAGUUCAUGUUCUCAGUUUUCAGAUAUAAAGCCUAGUCAAAUUACUGACUACUAGAACAACUGAGUAAUACAGGGCAAAAUAAAAGGAAAAUAACAUGGAGACAAACUGAUACAUAAUUUCCCACAUCAAAACAUUUAUUGACUCCAUAUAGUUAGUUGCAUUCUUAUCUAAAGUUUCUUAAUUCCUUUUCCUUCUUUCAUUUUUUCUUUCUCUAUCCCACUUAUUAUAGAAUUAUAGAGCCAUAGAAUCAUGAAGGUUGGAAAAGACCUCCAAGAUUUAUCAACCUGUCACCAAUAUUUCCCACUAAACCACAUCCCUCAGUACAACAUGUAAAUAUUUCUUGAACACCUCCAGAGACAGUGACUCGACCAACACUUUUGUCUGCCUGUUCCAGCACCUGAUCACUCUUCUGGAGAAAAAUUUUUUCCUAAUAUCCAAAUUAUAGCUUACAGUGAGAUUUUCACUGCAAGCAUGAGUGAACCCUCAUGAAAAUAACAGGAUGGUUGUUCUGGAUUUGUACAGUACAAAGCUGAAAAAAAAAGAGUGAAGAGAAAGCAUACCACACUGAAACACUCAAAGCUGAAGAAACAUAAGCAAACAAGUUGUACUUGCAGGUGCAGGCACUUAGUGGAAUUAAUAGAAAGUGACACUCACAUCCUGCCAUCUUACCUUGUUAUCAUAAAGCCCAAGAAUAGGCUUGCCCACCUGUCACUUGUGGUUCUGUGUGACCAUUUUGAUAUCUUUGGGGUUUUCGGCAGCUAAGAAUGAACGCAAGAGUUCUGCCUGUGCAAUCUUUUCUGUGUCCUCUGGCAGAAGAGGUGUUUGGCCUUUGGAAUGAUAUGGAAUCCACAAGCAAGCUUUAUUCACAUCUGAUUUCCAAAGAAGAUAUCAAAGUGUCCUAGCUGAUCUACUAAGCAAGCAAAGUUCAUCUGUCUGAGCCUGCACUGACCCAAGCUGUGAAGCCAUUUCUAAUUGGCUAACCUAUGUUGAGCACGUGUACCUUGUGUUCAUUACCCACUAUGGACACAACACAGCUGGAGGUCUGCAAAUGAUUCACCUCUCAAGAUUUUUACGCCUUUUCCACCUACAGCCAAACUUGUUAAAAGCUGAAGGCUUAAAUCACCUGCUAGAGAAAAGAAAAAUUCAAAGUAGAGUUCUUUCUUUGGCAAGAAUAAAGGAAUAAACAACCUUCCGUAAACAAAACUCAAUGAAAAUGCUAUUGGUUAAUUGGUUAAUUCUGAAGUUAGGAAGCUGGUUUCAAGUAUUGCUCAAGCAAACUCCACCUAAAUGUGAACUUGAUUCAAAGCCCAGAGAAGUCCAAGAGGGCUUUUCUUCAGUUACGUUUUGGUGACAGUCUUGAUGUUAUAUGGUAUCUCUGUUAUCCCCAUGGUUUUAUAUUUAACUGUGCUCACAGCUAAGGUACAAAGUACAUAUCCCAAAUGUCUGACAAACAGAACAGGUUAAGUUAAUGGGUCAGCAGAGGAGUGGCACUUUGAUGUGUUGCUUCUUUAUAUGACAGCUAGCUUAGUUUCUUAUGGCCUCUUUGCCUGCUGCCAGGAGCAGUGAGUGGACCACUUCGACAGAGCUGUAAGUUACAGUUCCAAAAUGAAAUAAGGAACCCCACACUGUGGCUGCACCUGAUGUAAUCUUCCCUUUGCUUCUGUGCUGAUUGGAAGUCAAGCUUUGUGUCACGAUGCUCUGCUAAAAUAAGAGCUGACUGCAAGAUACUGAAACAAACACAGCAAGAGACAACUUCCACUGUAAUGGAUCCUCAGCCUACGAACAUAAAAGGUAGGAAGGAGGCCAUUUUUCCCAGAUCUGUCUGGUUUGGACGUCAUGAUGGCAUGUUAUGGUUUAAUCGUACUGGCAACUCACACAGGUAAGUAAUCCGAGGUAGAUACUGGAAAAGCAGCUGCUAAAUGAGGCAUACUUUGGUCAGCACCCUGAGAACACGGGAUCUGCAGGGCAAGGGAUGUAGCAGGGUAAAGGGAAUGGGUGUGGUGUGGGCUGCUCAGCUUAGAGAGUGGUGCAGCCUUGCUGCUGCUCACUAAGAAUGCAAAGAGUAGAGCACAGCAAUAGGGAAACAGGACAUGGCUUUUGCGAGCAAAGGCCUUGGCUGUUAAAGCUGCAGGUUUCCUGUGAGGAAUGUUGGAGUACUGUUACACUUCUAUGUAACAAUAAAACAACAGAACUGUACCACGUGGCAGCUGCAACACUCUGAUUCUGACCACAGCAGAACUGCUUGGCUAUAAGCAGCACUUCUUUUGGGGUACUACCUGUUGGGGUCAAUGAUGCAGCUGUACCAUGAGGGAUUUGGAGGCUUCCUCCUUCUCUCCCACAUCUGAAAAGAGCAGUGAGAGUGAGUUCUGGUUCUGGAUGACACUGCGGAACCCCAGGGGAAAAAAAACAUGGGAUAAAUGCAGUAGCUGAGAAACAGUCUGGGAUAUGGUUAGUAUUGAAAGCAGCAGAUUUCACACGUGCAGCUUUGCCAGUCUUUGUGCCCUUGCCUACGCCUGCUUAACCUGCUGUGUCCUUAUGGCAGCCCAUCAGUGCAUACAUAGAGGUUUUCUCAGCAGCAGAGUGAAUGCAAGAAGCCAGAAGAGAGCCUGUCUCUCGUUACGUUGAGCAGCACCACCAGCCGGGCUGCAGCUUCUUCCCCAGACUCAUGCUGGUGACUUCAGCUCCUGCACUGCUGAGGUUCCCCCCGCCCUUCGGGAGCGCCCCGGGGUAGCGGCUCUGCCCCCUCGGGGCGGACCGGACAGGACCUCUCCCUGCGCCGAGCCCCCGCCGCUCUCAGGCUGAGGGCGGCACCGAUCGCAGGAAGAAAGGAAGGAAGCUGCUUCCUUUUUUCAGGUUCCCGUUUUCCCCCGUUACCGUUCUCAUUCACCAUGGGAAGCAUCAUCUCAAGGCCCGGCCGC